GUAACCCCAGGACGGACAAGGCCACCCGCUGAGUUUAAGCAUAUCAAUAAGCGGAGGAGAAG
rnacentral:rRNA from 1 species